ACUCAAAGGAAUAGACGGGCACCCGCACAAGCGGUGGAGCAUGCUGUUUAAUUCGAAGAUACGCGAAAAACCUUACCUAGAUUUGACAUCCCGGGCAAAGCUAUAGAAAUAUAGUGGAGGCUAUCCCGGUGACAGAUGGUGCAUGGUUGUCGUCAGCUCGUGUCGUGAGAUGUUUGGUUAAGUCCAACAACGAGCGCAACCCUUAUCGUUAGUUGCUAACAUUUAGUUGAGAACUCUAGCGAUACUGCCGGUGUAAGCCGGAGGAAGGUGGGGAUGAGGUCAAAUCAUCAUGCCUCUUACAUCUAGGGCUACAGGCGUGCUACAAUGGCUGGUACAACGAGUCGCAACACAGUGAUGUGAAGCUAAUCUCUAAAAGCCAGUCUCAGUUCGGAUUGGAGUCUGCAACUCGACUCCAUGAAGUUGGAAUCGCUAGUAAUCCCGAAUCAGAAUGUCGGGGUGAAUACGUUCUCGGGUGUUGUACACACCGCCCGU
rnacentral:rRNA from 1 species